CAGGACCUGAGCUGAAGGUGGACACUUAGCUGACCGAGCCACCCAGGCAUCCCUACCUUGGACUUUUUAAUUUGCCUAAACAUUAGCAGACCAGGGGAAGGUAGAGAUGUGCGGGCCAUGCGAGAUUGCAACGUGUUGGAAAGAACAUGGCAGUGACCGUGGGAAUGAUGCCAGGCGAAGAGCAACUUCCCUGAAAAGUAAGAGUGCUGUUAGAGAAACGGGAUGAGUUAAUUUCCAGGCUCCAUUUUACAAAUUGGCCCCUCUUCCGUUUGCCUUCACCCAAAACCCUGAACAAUCAAGCACCACCUUCCAUACAGAGCAGGAUGACAAAAGAAAGCCUUCAUGUGUAUGGCCUUUUGAAGGAUGAGUUCACUGAAGCCCCCUGUGAUGCCGCAGUCUCCAUCAGCCUACACAACAGGCAGCCUUGCAAGAUUCCUGGCUCCCUGCCUUUCCCGGGCAAGCUGUCAUUGAGCCAGUGGGAAAAUUACCUCCUGGGUGGCACGAUCUCUGGAUUGCCACAGAAUACUUACCCGCUCCGUUGCCACGGACUCUCGCCCCUUCUCUGCCCUCUGCAACCCUCCUUCUCUCGGUGAGGCUGCCCCUUCUCUACGUCUAGGGCUCUCAAAGAAUGCCAUCUUCAAAUUGACUCAUGUUCUUCAACAGACUGAGAUUUCUAUGUGUAUCCUGGUACAGCUCUUUGGUUGGUGAGGAGCAGAAACCGGUUGAAGAAGCUGGAGGAAAAGAAAAGAUGACUGUGAAAACCUGCUAGGAAACAAACUACGGCCGGCUCCCUAUGAACUAGAACCUGAAACUGGGGAGCCAUCUGCUGAGAGACUCUCCACCCGGUGUUUAUUGGGUUCCCACCAUGCCAGGUACUAUUCUAGAAGCUGGGGAGUCAGCGGAGCGUGGGGUGAUGGCCAGUAGAUACAUUAACCAGUGACAAUGUCAGAAGAUGGUGUUUGGAAAACAAUAAAA